GCAAACUUGGUCAUUUAGAGGAAGUAAAAGUCGUAACAAGGUUUCCGUAGGUGAACCUGCGGAAGGAUCAUUAACAGGCACAUCCACCCAUUAUGUGCGUGUGGAUUGCGCUUUGUGUUGUGUGAGGUGUGGUGCUUCUUGGUCAUUUGUCGUCGCAACAGUGGCCAAGAGCCCUCUUUUUAUUCUUUUUUAUCGUGUCUGAUUUUUUUACGAAAAACAUAAAACUGCCAGCAAUGGAUCCCUCGGUUCUCGCAUCGAUGAAGAACGCAGC
rnacentral:misc_RNA from 1 species